rnacentral:rRNA from 1 species
CCUGUUGUCAAUGCCCAAUCUUGUCUAAUCUCAAAAGAGAAGCAGGUUGUGCCUGGUUAGUACUUGGAUGGGAGACUGCUGGGAAUAGCAGGUGCCAGUGGGU